rnacentral:rRNA from 1 species
AUUGAACGCUGGCGGCAGGCCUAACACAUGCAAGUCGAGCGAGCGGCGGACGGGUGAGUAAUGUAUGGGGAUCUGCCCGAUGGAGGGGGAUAACUACUGGAAACGGUGGCUAAUACCGCAUACUAUCGGAUGUACCCAUAUGGGAUUAGCUGGUAGGUGGGGUAACGGCUCACCUAGGCGACGAUCUCUAGCUGGUCUGAGAGGAUGACCAGCCACACUGGGACUGAGACACGGUCCAGACUCCUACGGGAGGCAGCAGUGGGGAAUAGUGCACAAUGGGCGCAAGCCUGAUGCAGCCAUGCCGCGUGUAUGAAGAAGGCCUUCGGGUUGUAAAGUACUUUCAGCGAGGAGGCGUUACUCGCAGAAGAAGCACCGGCUAACUCCGUGCCAGCAGCCGCGGUAAUUC